rnacentral:rRNA from 1 species
CAGCAGCCGCGGGAAUACGGAGGGAGCUAGCGUUGUUCGGAAUUACUGGGCGUAAAGCGCACGUAGGCGGCUUUGUAAGUUAGAGGUGAAAGCCUGGAGCUCAACUCCAGAAUUGCCUUUAAGACUGCAUCGCUUGAAUCCGGGAGAGGUGAGUGGAAUUCCGAGUGUAGAGGUGAAAUUCGUAGAUAUUCGCAGGAACACCAGUGGCGAAGGCGGCUAACUGGUCCAUAACUGACGCUGAGGUGCGAAAGCGUGGGGAGCAAACAGGAUUAGAUACCCCCGUAGUCCCUGUCUCUUAUAA